rnacentral:lncRNA from 1 species
UUUAAAGUGGAUUUCCAAUAGAAUGAGCAUAAAGACUAAAAAGGGAGUAGUAUUUAGCACCGAACGGAAAGUGUGAGAUUAACGUACCCUAUCUUCCACUGAACUACAUAGCCAACGUAGGUACAAAUUAUGAGAUUACUCCCUAAAUCUAUAUGGAUGACAAAUUUAACUUGUGAUCGAUCACAUGGAAAGUAGGUUAUACUCCCUGGCAAGAGUAUGACUCCUCUCCCCAACGUAGGGAUUCUUCCUCAGGGAGACAAGAACACUGGACUCCAGGAAUGCUCACAUGGUUGAUGUCGGUUAAGAGAACCUCCCUGCUAGUAAAAGUAAAUAAACAGUUUUGAGUAUUUUCCUACUAGUAAAGAAAACCUUUGAAAGAAUUCCCUUCAGAUAAAGUAUUUUUCCAUGCAGAAUGAGUUUUCAGAUUUCACUUAGCCUAUAUGAUUUGAUAAUAAGAAUAGAAUACAGAUUUCAGAACUAUGUGUAAUGGCUCACAAGAUUUAUAUUAUAUGCUUUACUAUUCAAGAUUUAUGAUCUUCAGAUUCCAAAUUUACUCAAUCUUAUGUGAGCCAUAUACAUUUAGCGUGAAUGAUUUUAUAAAUUGUGAUGAUAUUGCUUACUUAUUGCAUUUACCCCACAUACACAGUACAUCAUCAAAUUACUGAUCCGCAUAUACAUCUAUGUGCUACAUUGUCUCAAAAUGUAGGUUCAGGUGCUCAGUCUCAAUAGCGUGAGUGAUUUUCAAGCAUCUCAUCUAUAUCUCUGCAGUUGGUAAGUCCUCAUAGUUCGGGGACUUAAUUAUUUCAUACUUCUAGUUUAUUAUUAGUUGAUUCAGUUUUUAUUUCAGACAGUUUGAGUCAGCUAGGGGUUUGUCCCAGUAGCUCUCUAGUUUUAGUUAGUAGAGGUUUGUCGGACUACCAUAUUUAAUAUUCAAGUUUUGUUUCAGUAUUCAGGUUUUCAUUAUUGUUUUACCAAAACUUUUGAGAUUAGUAUGCUUCAGACAUACCCAAUUAUUUCAGAUAGACUUCCGCAUUUAGUAUGAUUUUUCAUUCAUAUUCUCCUAUUUUGAGACCCAGACUUAGUAGAAAGCAGUCAGGAUUAGCUCAGGACUACUUGUAGUUCAGAGCACCGUGUGGCAUCUCGGGAACUCAAAUUUUGGAGAGUUACACAGGGUUUUCAAAGCACAUACAUAACAUAAGAUACAAAUCAAGUACACGUACAUGAGAAAAAAAUACAAAUAAAGAAAUAAAACAAACAAGUGACAUAAUGUGUACGAUGACAUAAAAAUGGUGAUGUAAUGUUCACAACCAUUGAAAUGAGUAUUUCCAAAAUCAAUCCACGUGAUGUAUUUCCACAACUAACCACAAUGUUAUAAUUUCACAACCACGUGAGCUAAUAUUCGCUCAUUAUUUAUACUAUCCAUGAAUUCUCCACAUGAUUCAUAUGCCCACAAGGUAUGAAUAUAUCACAAUACGCCAAAGGUACCACAAUAGACAUUUCCAAUCAACACAAUAUAAUUAUUCAUAUGUAUUUCAGGCUAUCAACAUCAAAUUCAGGCCCCUACACGGGCAAAAUAUAUAGAUAGACAUAUUUCAUGAUUAGUUUCCACUCUUAACAUGUAUUUUGGUAUACAAAUUAACUACCCAACUCAAUAUGAAGAGUUAAGUCAUAACCUACCUCGAAUGCUAAAAUCGGUCAGCUACAGUUCGAAAUCAUGAUCUUAAUUUUCACGAACGAUCUCAAAAUCAACUUAAAUAAAGAAAUAUAGAAUCUACACGUUAAUACAAAGCCACUGAUAUCCAUAUUGACUACUUUUGGUUAGGGUCAAAAUGGACUCCCGAAAUGAGUUCAAAAAAAGACAAAAUCGUAACUUUACUCCAAAAAUGUGUUUUUCAUCUUUUUAGGAAUAUACAUCUGAAAACCCAAGUCAAAUCGAGUAAAAAAACGAGGUUCAAAUUGAUGAAAAAUCAUUUUUUAAGCUUUAUCGGGAAAAUCUUUGAAAUUCAAUUUAAUAUCAAGAAUCAGGGUUGUUUCGAAGGUUAAAUUGAUGAAAAUCUAGUAAUUAUAAGAUUAAAAUAUUAUUCAAGUGAAAAAGAGUGAAAUUGAGGUUUAAAAUCAAGUCGUAAAAUUUUUUGGGGUAUGAGAAAUUAAUCAAGAAAUUACUAAGAAAAGGGUGAAUUCUUACCUUAAAUCUGUAAUAGAAUCAAGAAAUAGAUGUUAAUCUAGCUUCCCAAACUCCCACAAACUUCACUUUUGAGCUCCCACACUAUUUUAGAUUUAACUCCCAAGAGGCAAGGUAAAAGAAUGAACAAAAUGGACCAAAAAAGAGUAAAAAAAAACUACAUUGCAGAAAAAAUCUGCUAUAUAUAGUGCAUAUUUUUUUUAAGUCCAAACAGACUUCGACGGAGUGUCCGAGAUUCGUUCGGAGUUCGAUAUAUGCAAACAAAUUAUGUAACCACAUUAAAUUAGACACUCUGGACACAAUAGCGAUAUCAGAUUUUUGAAAAAAAAAUGUCGUUUUCAAAAAGUUGACCCUCGAAAUUCGAAAUCAUAAUUUUCUAAAUCAAGGGUCGAAAUGAGAUUUAAAAGUCAUAAAAUCACACCAAAUAUGCUACCACCCUAAAAUCGACAUUCUGGAUCUUCUGGCAAAGUCGAAAUUUCUAUUCGAGGUUGUUUCAAUCAAAUGUGGGUCCCACACUCAUAUUUCUAAUUUUUCUAACUUUCUGACCAACAUGUUGAAAUGAGCUCAGGUGCACCGAGAGUCAAACCAAACGUCUAACUAGGCUAAAAUCAAUAUUCUAGAGCUACUAGUGUAGUCCGUUCAGUCUUCCUUGCACGAAUCAAAAUAUAUCCACAUAAGUCCAAAAUACGGAUAUUAAAGCCAUCAAAAGCCAUAAUACCACAUAAAUGGUACAAAAAAUGAAUCAAAACUGUGUCAAUCACCCCCACACCCUAGAAAUACCAUAUGCAACUACGAAAAGGGAUAAAAUAGUCAAAUAAUAUUGAAACACGUAUUUCACAUAUUUUAUCAAAAAGUUGGUUGUUAUAUCUUGAUACCUACUUUUUAAUACUUUUAAUUUUUUUUAGUAUAGCAUUGUUGAUUGACGUGAGAUACAUGUACAAAUACAUACACAUAAUUUUAAGAAGUCUAAUAUUUGUGUAACUAUUUAGGGUUGGCUCCAGAUAAAAAAAAAAGUUAGAAUUUGAGCUUAUAUAAAAAUUUUAUAUAAUUUUAUUAAACAGUAUUUUGGAUUCAACUUUAUAACAGACAUACUACUCUUACUUUUCUCUCGUUUGAUUGAUUAAAAUUUAAAUGCUUAAAGUUUCUCCGACAAAAAUUGACUUAACUAUUCCAUCACGAUAACAUUUUUGAACUUAUAGCAAACUUAGUUCAAUUUGGUGAUAUUUACGGUUAUUCUUAACAUUUGAUACAUGUACAACACAUGUAUGUUAACAUACGUGCCUUGCACAUGUAUCAAGAGUUAAUUUGGGAUCAUCAAAUGUUUAUACACAAUUUUUUACAUCAUGAUUAAGAGAAACAAUAGAUAACAAUUUUAAUACAUUUUGGAUUCAUUAUAUUAUACGUAUUAAAGACAUACUUUAAUAUACAUGGUGAAUAUCUAGAAGCAAAAUAUUUUUAAAAGAAAUAUAUUACACUAUUAUAUGUGAAUUUCAAACAUUCCAUUAUAAUUUGAAUUAGUUUACGUUGUUAGAAAUGUAUAAUAUUUGAUAUGAAAUAACAACUUUCGAAUUCAUAAAAAUAUAUAGUAUUAAAUUUGAAUUGUAUUACAGCGAUUCUUUAUGUUUAAUACAACUUGAAUACAACGUUUAAAAACUUUACCUCUUCGUCUCUAGUGAAUCAACAUCACCAGACCACCAUCGAACCCAUCACCCGUGAUCAAACCAACCACCAAAUAACUGUGAAAACACUACCUCAAAAAACAUUACCUCAAGCUACCAAACCUGGCAAACUAUCAAAAAACACCACAACUAAACAACAACUCCGAUCACUCACUUCCUCUCUUCUUCGUUCGAUGAGCCAUUACUAUCAAAUUUCGGUUAGAGAUCCAUUACCACCAUCAAUACACCUAUCACUUCCCUUUUUAUUAUUUUUUUCAAUGAGCCACAACUUUCCAUCAAGACCCACGACUUUCCAGCAACCAAAUUGACACAACUUCACUGUGUUCUCCUCUAUUAUUCAUUGAAAUAUUACCUUCCCUUUUACCAUUUUUUUACACCUACAACAAACAAAGGGAUCCACCUCCACAAUUUCAUGGAGAUCAUCAGAACUCAUAAAUUUUGGUUGGAGUUCGAUGGUUUAUUCGAUUUAAUUAUUAUGUUAUUUCUUAUUAAUGUUGCAGAGGUAAGAAAGGAAAAUAGAAAUUGGGGUGGUUGUUUGUUAUUUUGUUCACUAGAGAAUCCAUCUUUAACGAUGUUCGAGGGAAAUAAUGAAGAGUUAGGCUGGUUGUUGUUU